UCAUCUGAUAUUUAAAAUUCACUGGUCCAACUAAUCGAGACGAUUCUUAUCUUCGUAAUUCUUCCUUCUCAUCUCCUAUUCAAGGGCAAAUCUCCCAAAAUAACUGCUAUCAUUUCCUUCCAAAUGAAGAAGUGACCUUGUAAGAAAUAAAUACCUAUGUGUCUGCAAAAAUUUAGUUAGUUGUCUUGAGAGAAAAUUGAUUGAAUUUCUAAUCAUAGUGAAAGACCAUGUUAGAAUCGACCAUGCAGUAGGAGAAAUCAGAGCCAUCAAUUUCAUUCAUAUUCUCAACACUCAAAUUGAUGAGUUGUGUUCUUUACUCCUAAUGCCUGCCAUUACAGGCUCUGCCAAAGCUGCUUACAAAUGUAGAUGCGGCUGCUUACAACCGUAGUGAUGCUCAUUUAUAGAAUGAAUGAAUCCCCACCUUACCGAGCUAUAAUGAAGUGGUUCAAAUAUGCUAUGAACUUUGAGAAAUUGUCUAUAUUUCCCCACCAUUCGUAGUUGAGGUCAGAUAUACCCGUAUUGUAAUAAGAUUGGUCCAACUAUGAUUGUAUUUGCUAACAUUGAAAGUUUUUCAAUACAUAGGUCAUUUAAUAAUAAUAAAAAAAGACAUUCAAUUUGUCCUUGAAUUAUGCUUAAUGGUCCAUAUUUGCCCUUAAACUUUGAAAAAGUGGUUUCACAGUCUAAUGCUUCUCAAAUCUUUGCAUGAGAUGACAAGGUUUUGAUGUCCCUGGAGUUCUUGGAGUGUCUCCCGUGUUAAAUGUACAGGUCUUGAUGAUCAAGAAUGAGGGGAGGCAUAGGUUAUAUAGGUGUAGCUUAAUGGAAGUUUUUAUGAGACUUUGAGGCAUGUGAAGAAAAAUUGCAGAAUGAACCACCAAUAGUUUUGAAUGGUCUUGAAGGCCUGUAAUUAUGCAGUUUAGUUAACAGUAGCUAAUUCAGCCUGUGAGGUUUCUCCACCAUACUCCUCUGGAUGACAUGUUUACUAAUCCUGUAUAUUAGUGUCUGUUUACCACCUCUUCUUUGUGAUAUACCAAAGAAUGAGGUUAAAUCUUUGUUUUCCCCUUUUAUCAUAGUUGAAACACUGUAUCAAACAGGUUUUAUGCUGUUAUAGUCACAUACAUUUGUUUUCUUC